AGCAGCCGCGGUAAUUCCAGCUCCAAUAGCGUAUAUUAAAGUUGUUGCAGUUAAAAAGCUCGUAGUUGAAUUUCGAGAUCGGCUUACUGGUCGUGCUUUUGUACGUACUGGUAUAAUCGGUUUCUCCUUUCUGACGAACUAUAAUGCCAUUAAUUUGGUGUUAUAGGGAAUCAGGACUGUUACUUUGAAAAAAUUAGAGUGUUUAAAGCAGGCUCACGCUUGAAUACAUUAGCAUGGAAUAACGGAAUAGGACGUUUGAUUCUAUUUUGUUGGUUUCUAGGAUCGACGUAAUGAUUAAUAGGGAUAGUUGGGGGCAUUAGUAUUCAAUUGUCAGAGGUGAAAUUCUUGGAUUUAUUGAAGACUAACUACUGCGAAAGCAUUUGCCAAGGAUGUUUUCAUUAAUCAAGAACGAAAGUUAGGGGAUCGAAGACGAUCAGAUACCGUCGUAGUCUUAACCAUAAACUAUGCCGACUAGGAAUCGGAUGAUGUUAAUUUUUUAAUGACUC
rnacentral:rRNA from 1 species